UACGUAGGAUGCAAGCGUUGUCCGGAUUUACUGGGCGUAAAGGGCGCGUAGGCGGUCGUGACAAGUCACUUGUGAAAUCUCCGGGCUUAACUCGGAACGGUCAAGUGAUACUGUCGGACUAGAGUACAGAAGGGGCAACUGGAAUUCUCGGUGUAGCGGUGAAAUGCGUAGAUAUCGAGAGGAACACCUGCGGCGAAGGCGGGUUGCUGGGCUGAUACUGACGCUGAGGCGCGAAAGCCAGGGGAGCGAACGGG
rnacentral:rRNA from 1 species